rnacentral:rRNA from 1 species
AGUGAAUAGAUACCCGGGUAGUCCACGCCGUAAACUAUGGACGCUAGCUGUUAGAAGUAUCGACCCUUCUAGUAGCGAAAGCUAAACGCGUUAAGCGUCCCGCCUGUGGAGUACGAGCGCAAGCUUAAAACAUAAAGGAAUUGACGGGGACCCGCACAAGCGGUGGAGCGUGUUGUUUAAAUUCGAUGCUAAGCGAAGAACCUUACCCAGGUUUGACAUCCUGCUAAUUUCUCCGAAAGGAGAGAGUGCCUUCGGGCCGCAGUGACAGGUGUUGCAUGGCCGUCGUCAGCUCGUGUCGUGAGAUGUUUGGUUAAGUCCAUCAACGAGCGCAACCCUUUUGUUUAGUUGUAUUUCUCUAAACAGACUGCCCU